rnacentral:tRNA from 1 species
GGGGUUGUGGCUCAGAGGUAGAGCGCUUGCCUAGCAUGCAUGAGGCACUGGGUUUGAUCCUCAGCACCACA